rnacentral:ncRNA from 1 species
AACUUUAUAAAAAGCGUGUUGCAACCUUGUGAAGAGCGUCUAACCAACGCUGCAAGGGCGCCUCGGAACAGCUGAGGAGUCGUCAGAAGGAUACUUCAAAACGGCUCAACUUUCACAGAAAUCGAAAGACGAAGUGAGAAGGAGUAAAACUCCAACAGAGAAGAGGUGGCGCAAGGGCAAUAUGAUUAUAAGACACGAUUCCGGUUUUCCCAACAAUAGACGCCUCGGUGAGGAAUAACCCUAUAGACCACAUCCGCAAGAUGUGAGCCAAUGUAGGGAAUGCAAAAGCAAUGGGAAUGCCUCGACACUACGUCAGAAAUGGCGUAGAACCGGUUUGCGGUACGAGUAGCCUAAGAGGCGUAAUAUUUCUAAAAUAGUUGACAUUAAUUAUUGGGCAAAUGUUAUUAAUCUGAAUGGUUGGUGAAAGUUAGGGGUACAUGAAUCCCCUUCGAGACAGUGGUUCCGAAAGGAACUGGGGUAAGAAGUUAUACGGCGACGGCUGUAUGGCUCAGACUUAUCUCCUCGGUGGUCGAAUAAUAAAGGUUAUUGAGGGAGUAUAGCGAAGGCUAGCAAUAUACUUUUUAUAAAG